rnacentral:rRNA from 1 species
CGCGGCCUAUCAGCUUGUUGGUGGGGUGACGGCCUACCAAGGCGACGACGGGUAGCCGGCCUGAGAGGGUGUCCGGCCACACUGGGACUGAGAUACGGCCCAGACUCCUACGGGAGGCAGCAGUGGGGAAUAUUGCACAAUGGGCGCAAGCCUGAUGCAGCGACGCCGCGUGGGGGAUGACGGCCUUCGGGUUGUAAACCUCUUUCACCAUCGACGAAGGUCCGGGGUUUCUCGGAUUGACGGUAGGUGGAGAAGAAGCACCGGCCAACUACGUGCCAGCAGCCGCGGUAAUACGUAGGGUGCGAGCGUUGUCCGGAAUUGCUGGGCGUAAAGAGCUCGUAGGUGGUUUGUCGUGUUGUUCGUGAAAUCUCACGGCUUAACUGUGAGCGUGCGGGCGAUACGGGCAGACUGGAGUACUGCAGGGGAGACUGGAAUUCCUGGUGUAGCGGUGGAAUGCGCAGAUAUCAGGAGGAACACCGGUGGCGAAGGCGGGUCUCUGGGCAGUAACUGACGCUGAGGAGCGAAAGCGUGGGGAGCGAACAGGAUUAGAUACCCUGGUAGUCCACGCCGUAAACGGUGGGUACUAGGUGUGGGUUUCCUUCCUUGGGAUCCGUGCCGUAGCUAACGCAUUAAGUACCCCGCCUGGGGAGUACGG